rnacentral:rRNA from 1 species
AUGCUUAGGUACGAUUUGGAGGACCAGCUGACGGUCAUCUACACGGACGAGGAGGCCUACUGGCGCUUGCGAGGUACACAGAAUUGGGUCCUCAAGGGGGAUGCCAAUACCGCCUACUUCCAGGCCAUUGCCAACGGUCGUCGUCGCCGUAAUUCCAUCCCGCUUCUCUGGGACGGCGAGACCCUCCUGCAGCGCCCUAAGGACAUCCGGGCCCACGUAGACGGCUUUUAUAGAGACCUAUUCUCUGCCUCCCCUAGGAGAGGUCUUGCCCUGGUGCAAGACAUCUAGCCGGCCCACAGCUGUGUUUCUCCUGCUGACAACAUGGCCCUUACGGCCCCGUUCUCUGAGGCUGAAGUUUGGGCGGCAAUUAAGGGUAUGAACCCUUCCUCGGCACCCGGUCCGGAUGGCCUUCCAGUGGAGUUCUUCCAGACUUUCUGGGAAGUAAUAAAAUCGGAGGUGAUGGCCCUGUUUGAGGAAUUCUUUGUAGGGUCCAUUGACCUCACCAGGCUGAACUUUGGGAUCAUCACCCUCAUCCCCAAAGUUACUGGGUGA